AACGUAGGUGACAAACGUUAUCCGGAGUUACUGGGCGUAAAGGGCGUGUAGGUGGUUUAGUAAGUCUGGCGUGAAAUUUUUCGGCUUAACCGGGAAAGGUCGUCGGAUACUGCAAGACUAGAGGACAGUAGAGGCGUGUGGAAUUCCGGGUGUAGUGGUGAAAUGCGUAGAGAUCCGGAGGAACACCAGUGGCGAAGGCGACACGCUGGGCCGUACCUGACACUGAUGCGCGACAGCAUGGGGAGCAAACAGG
rnacentral:rRNA from 1 species